rnacentral:rRNA from 1 species
GACGAACGCUGGCGGCGUGCUUAACACAUGCAAGUCGAACGGACAUGCCCUGCUUUUGUGGGGUGCUCGAGUGGCGAACGGGUGAGUAACCCGUGAGUAACCUGCCCUUCACUUUGGGAUAACUUCAGGCAACUGGGGCUCAUACCGGAUAGGAGCUCCUGCUGCAGGGUGGGGGUGGGUAGGUUUCGGCGGUUGGGGAUGGACUCGCGGCUGAUCAGCUUGUUGGUGGGGUAGUGGCUUACCAAGGCUUUCACGGGUAGCCGGCCUGCGGGGGUGAGCGGCCACAUUGGGACUGAGAUAAGGCACAGACUCGUACGGGAGGCAGCAGAGGGGAAGAUUGCAUAAGGGGAGGAAGCCUGAUGCAGCAACGCCGCGUGCGGGAUGACGGCAAUCGGGUUGGAUUCCGCUGUCGCCUGUGACGAAGCGUUAGUGACGGUAACGGGUAAAGAAGCACCGGCUAACUACGUG